rnacentral:rRNA from 1 species
GAUGAACGCUGGCGGCGUGCUUAACACAUGCAAGUCGAACGGAAAGGCCCAAGCUUGCUUGGGUGCUCGAGUGGCGAACGGGUGAGUAACACGUGGGUGAUCUGCCCUGCACUUUGGGAUAAGCCUGGGAAACUGGGUCUAAUACCGGAUAGGACCAUCGUUUAGUGUCGGUGGUGGAAAGUUUUUCGGUGUGGGAUGAGCUCGCGGCCUAUCAGCUUGUUGGUGGGGUAAUGGCCUACCAAGGCGUCGACGGGUGGCCGGCCUGAGAGGGUGUACGGCCACAUUGGGACUGAGAUACGGCCCAGACUCCUACGGGAGGCAGCAGUGGGGAAUAUUGCACAAUGGGCGCAAGCCUGAUGCAGCGACGCCGCGUGGGGGAUGACGGCCUUCGGGUUGUAAACUCCUUUCGCCAAGGACGAAGCGUUUUGUGACGGUACUUGGAGAAGAAGCACCGGCUAACUACGUG